GAUGAACGCUGGCGGCGUGCCUAAUACAUGCAAGUCGAGCGAACAGACGAGGAGCUUGCUCCUCUGACGUUAGCGGCGGACGGGUGAGUAACACGUGGAUAACCUACCUAUAAGACUGGGAUAACUUCGGGAAACCGGAGCUAAUACCGGAUAAUAUAUUGAACCGCAUGGUUCAAUAGUGAAAGACGGUUUUGCUGUCACUUAUAGAUGGAUCCGCGCCGCAUUAGCUAGUUGGUAAGGUAACGGCUUACCACGGCAACGAUGCGUAGGCGACCGGAGAGGGGGAUCGGCCACACUGGAACUGAGACACGGUCCAUGCUCCUACGGGAGGCAGCAGUAGGGAAUCUUCCGCAAUGGGCGAAAGCCUGACGGAGCAACGCCGCGUGAGUGAUGAAGGUCUUCGGAUCGUAAAACUCUGUUAUUAGGGAAGAACAAAUGUGUAAGUAACUAUGCACGUCUUGACGGUACCUAAUCAGAAAGCCACGGCUAACUACGUG
rnacentral:rRNA from 1 species